rnacentral:rRNA from 1 species
GACGAACGCUGGCGGCGUGCCUAAUACAUGCAAGUUGAGCGAUGAAGAUUGGUGCUUGCACCAAUUUGAAGAGCAGCGAACGGGUGAGUAACGCGUGGGGAAUCUGCCUUUGAGCGGGGGACAACAUUUGGAAACGAAUGCUAACACCGCAUAACAACUUUAAACAUAAGUUUUAAGUUUGAAAGAUGCAAUUGCAUCACUCAAAGAUGAUCCCGCGUUGUAUUAGCUAGUUGGUGAGGUAAAGGCUCACCAAGGCGAUGAUACAUAGCCGACCUGAGAGGGUGAUCGGCCACAUUGGGACUGAGACACGGCCCAAACUCCUACGGGAGGCAGCAGUAGGGAAUCUUCGGCAAUGGACGAAAGUCUGACCGAGCAACGCCGCGUGAGUGAAGGAGGUUUUCGGAUCGUAAAACUCUGUUGGUAGAGAAGAACGUUGGUGAGAGUGGAAAGCUCAUCAAGUGACGGUAACUACCCAGAAAGGGACGGCUAACUACGUG